rnacentral:lncRNA from 1 species
GCCUAUACUACCACACCCGACCCUUGGGAGUCUUUCAAUGAAGAGGAUCCUGAAUUUAAGGAUGCGAGAAGUGGAGACUCCAGGGCUACCGGUUAUGGAUCUUGAGGCAAGAAUGGCUGUGGAUGGGGAGUGCCUGGGAGGAACACACCGAAACCGCAGGAGGAUCUUGGAGUCAGCACCUGUGCCCAGACGCAUGGAUGACAGAGCAGAAACUGAAGUCACGUGGGGGAGACACAGACACAUGAACCAGGAGUCAGUGCCUGCAGUCACCUGGCAGAGACAUGUGAGAACAGCAGCAAGCAUCUCAGGCAGGCUUCCAGAGUGCGUGAGUGAGCAGGGGCUUUGGGAAGUCUCUCUUUGAUGGCUCCAGUCUCCCUUUCUUAGUGAUUAAGAGCAGGGCCACAGCAUAGAACGGAACCCUAACGGGGCAGGGGUGGGGGCAGAUACCAACCCCUGGGCAGUUCAAUCAGUCUCCCUGAGAUUUUGUCUGUUGUGUGUCUUUGAAGAGCCAACUUCAUUGACAAACUGAACUUUAUGGGCCCAAGGACUGAGC